UUGCAUAGGUAAAUGCCCCAUCAGUCUCCACAAAAGGGCAUGAGACUGCAGGGCUGUGUGCACAUAGAAAUCACACACAGGAAUUGAAAAUAAAAGUUGAGAUUAGUCAAGAAUGACCAAACAAAAGACUGAAGAGGGUGGAACACCGGACUCCAGACAUAAAAAGCUCUUAAUAUUUCUGAAGUGGAGGUACUGCUGCAGGAAGUGAACAUCAAACGAGCUGUCAUAUUUAGUAGCAUCAAUAGUGGAUCUAAAAUAAUAAUUAAAAAAAGAUGCAUGGGAUGCUAUUACUCAUUCAGUGAACACUGUAUCCGGAGAAGGGCACACAACUGAUGAAGUUAAAAACAAUAGUUUAAUCUCAAGUCUGAGGCCAAAAAAAAAUAUUUCCAGACACAGAAGAGAGAAGCUGACAAAGGGGACAGGCUUGCCCAGAGUUAUCUGAGCUGGACCAGUGCAUAGCAGCCAUUUUUGGAGAGACAGGACUCUAGGGUGUGCCAUCAGCUCAGCAUUUGGACAUAGACCUGGGCCCUGUAUCAGUGGUUUCAUCUCCUAGGCCAUCUCCUAUCUCAGAAUCAGAAGAUGAACCCCCGCUGAGGCACCCACCCUCUGUGGCAGAACCUGGCACCUCACAGCCAGUACCUUCCUGCAGCAGUACCUCCAUGCGUGCACCCAGGUCCCAUUCAACUGCCCCAUGUCUGAUCUCAGAUGCUGUCCUGGACAACCAAGAGAGAAUGGCCCAAACACUUUCACAGAUAGCCUCAACACUUGCCACAAUCUCUAACACACUUGAAGAAAUUUAUACAAAUUUUAAAAAAUGAAGAUAUGCGCUAAAACCUGUUUGAUUUUUUUGAUGCAUUUCUUUCUUGAGAUUAAUUGUAAGCUAUAAAUAAUCACACUGUACAAGUCAAACAAAUUGUAAAGCCUUUUUUUUCAAACGAGCAAUUAAUUGCUGUUGAACUUAGACAGCAAGUUUGUUGUCUGGUCCCUGGAGUGGGUGAGGAUGCACAUCCUCUUGUUGUUGUGGUGGCAGAGGGGGAAGUGGUACAUCACGUUUCACAGUGAUGUUGUGCAAGACAUUGAUGAGCAGGCCAUGAUUAUCCUACAAACCUAAAAUGUCAAAAAGAUGCCCAAAGAUUACAAAAAUGCAAAAAAUUGUGAUAGAA